UACGUGGGGGGCUAGCGUUGUCCGGAAUCAUUGGGCGUAAAGCGCGUGUAGGCGGUCCGGUAAGUCCGCUGUGAAAGUCGAGGGCUCAACCCUCGAAUGCCGGUGGAUACUGUCGGGCUAGAGUGCGGAAGAGGCGAGUGGAAUUCCUGGUGUAGCGGUGAAAUGCGCAGAUAUCAGGAGGAACACCGGUGGCGAAGGCGGGUCUCUGGGCCGAUACUGACGCUGAGGAGCGAAAGCGUGGGGAGCAAACAGG
rnacentral:rRNA from 1 species